rnacentral:rRNA from 1 species
AUGAAGCGCAUAGUGGGGAGCCCAGGGACAUGGAGCGGCAUGGUGCUGCGUCUGUCGCAGUGCUUCUUCGCCGCCGCAUCUUCCCUUGCCAUGUGCUCCGCUUUCGGCUUCUCCAACUACAGCGCCUACUUCUACAUGAAUCUAGUGUUGAUCCUGCAGCUUUUGUGGAGUUUGUACUUGGCUUGUCAGGAUAUAUUUUCUCUGAGGAAUAACAGGGAUCUUCAUGCCCCGGAUUUUCUAUUGUUCUUUGUUAUCAUUGAUUGGGUCAUGGCAAUUCUCAUGUUCUCUGCAUUCUGUGCCUCUGCCAGCGUGACGAUUUUCUUCAUGAAGGAUAUGAACUUCUGCGCGGAAUACCGGCGUCUGGACUGCAAUCAGUUCACACUUUCAGUCACUCUGGCGUUCUUUACAUGGUUGUUGCAAGCUGCGUCUUCUUUCUCCGGGUUCUGGCUACUGGUUUCCUUCUUCUAG